GACGAACGCUGGCGGUGUGCUUAACACAUGCAAGUCGAACGGUAAGGCCCUUUCGGGGGUACACGAGUGGCGCACGGGUGAGUAACACGUGAGUAACCUGCCCUCAUCUCUGGGAUAACAGUCGGAAACGGUUGCUAAUACUGGAUAUGAGCUUGCAAGGCAUCUUGUGGGUUGGAAAGAUUUUUUUGGUUGGGGAUGGACUCGCGGCCUAUCAGCUUGUUGGUGAGGUAGUGGCUCACCAAGGCUUCGACGGGUAGCCGGCCUGAGAGGGCGACCGGCCACAUUGGGACUGAGAUACGGCCCAAACUCCUACGGGAGGCAGCGGUGGGGAAUAUUGCACAAUGGACGGAAGUCUGAUGCAGCAACGCCGCGUGCGGGAUGACGGCCUUCGGGUUGUAAACCGCUUUCAAUUGUGACGAAGCUUUUUGAGACGGUAGCAGUAGAAGAAGCACCGGCUAACUACGUG
rnacentral:rRNA from 1 species